rnacentral:lncRNA from 1 species
AUGGUUUCAGCAAUUUUCUUCGCCUUGACAUUCCUGGGUUUAAUCCAUAGCCCACAGAAAGUCGGCGAUGAACUAGAUGCAGCUGCAAAUGCGUGCACGCAGCAGCGUGCAGAGGAGUUGCAAGCGCGCAUGAUGCAGCUGCUGCUAGAGAUGGAGCAGACGGACCAGGAGCACAGCUGGGCACAUGUGGGAGCCCUGCUCCUAUCUGUGCUGCAGCACUGGCAGUUCUGGGCCCUGACCGGAGAGCUUUUCCUGUUCUUUAUGCUCUGCCACAUGCUCAUGAAAUUGUGCCAUAAGCUGGGCAGCAGAAAUGAGAAGGGCAUCUCAGUUGUGAAAUCUUCAACGCUUGUUCUCAUGGGGGACUUCAACUUCCCUGACGUAUCCUGGAAGCACAACACAGCCCAGAGAAAGCAGUCUAGGAGGUUUCUGGAGAGCGUGGCAGAUAGCUUCCUGAUGCAGCUGAUUAGUGAACCUACCAGGGGUGGCGCCCUGCUAGACCUUCUCUUCACAAACAGAGAAGGACUGGUGGAGGAUGUGAUUGUUGGGAGCUGUCUUGAGCAGAGUGACCACGAAAUGGUGGAGUUCUCUAUUCUUGGCGAGGUCAGGAAGGGGACCAGUAAAACCACUGUAUUAGACUUCCGGAAGGCUGACUUUGAGCUGCUCAGGACACUGGUUGGUAGAGUCCCAUGGGAGGCGGUUCUGAAGGGCAGAGGAGUCCAGGAAGGUUGGGCGCUCUUCAAGAGGGAAAUCUUAAUGGCGCAGGAGUGGUCUGUCCCCACGUGCCCAAAGGCGAGCUGGCGGGGAAGAAGACCAGCCUGGCUCAACAGAGAAUUGUGGCUUGAGCUUAGGAGAAAAAAAGGGUUUAUAAUCUUUGGAAAAGUGGGCAGGCCACUGAGGAGGACUAUAAGGAUGUUGCAAGGCUGUGCAGGGACAAAAUUAGAAAGGCCAAAGCUCAUCUGGAGCUCAAUCUGGCUACUGCCGUUAAACAUAACAAAAAACGCUUUUAUAAAUACAUCAACACAAAAAGGAGGACUAAGGAGAAUCUCCAUCCUUUACUGGAUGCGGGGGGAAACGUAG